GCACGGGUGGCAGAGCGGUCAAUUGCAUGAGACUGUAGAUCUCACGCCUUCGGGCUACGGGGGUUCGAAUCCCUCCCCGUGCA
rnacentral:tRNA from 1 species